rnacentral:rRNA from 1 species
CCUACGGGAGGCUGCAGUGAGGAAUAUUGGUCAAUGGGCGGGAGCCUGAACCAGCCAAGCCGCGUGAGGGAAGAAGGUACAGCGUAUCGUAAACCUCUUUUGUCAGGGAACACAGGCGGGGACUAGUCCCCGGAUGAGGGUACCUGAAGAAAAAGCAUCGGCUAACUCCGUGCCAGCAGCCGCGGUAAUGCGGAGGAUGCGAGCGUUAUCCGGAUUUGUUGGGUUUCAGGGGUGCGCAGGCGGCCGGUAACGACAGCGGUAAAAGCCCGGGGCUCAACCCCGGCGAGCCGUUGAAACUGGCGGGCUGGAGUGGGAGAGAAGUACGCGGAAUGCGCGGUGUAGCGGUGAAAUGCGUAGAUAUCGCGCAGAACCCCGAUGGCGAAGGCAGCGUACCGGCUCCACACUGACGCUGAGGCACGAAAGCGUGGGUAUCGAACAGGAUUAGAUACCCUAGUAGUC